rnacentral:rRNA from 1 species
GAACACCGACAGGUUGAACGCAUAUUGCACAUCGUACAACAGUACGAUGUACACAUUUUUGAGUGCC